rfam:Camelus ferus unplaced genomic scaffold scaffold445, whole genome shotgun sequence.
GAGGGCAUAGCUCAGCAGUAGAGUGCAUGCUUAGCAUCCAUGAGGUCCUGGGUUCUAUCCCCAGUAACUCCA